rnacentral:rRNA from 1 species
CCCUUAGAUGUCCUGGGCCGCACGCGCGCUACACUGAGUGUCUGAGAUACGAGUCUGCCUGGUCCGGCAAGGUCUAGGUAAUCGCUAAAAGACACAUCAUGCUUGGGAUAGAUUAUUGCAAAUAUUAAUCUUGAACGAGGAAUUCCUAGUAAGCGCAAGUCAACAGCUUGCGUUGAUUACGUCCCUGCCCUUUGUACACACCGCCCGUCGCUACUACUGAUUGGAUGUUUAAGCGAGGUUCUCGAACUGCUAGCGACUUAGCUUCGGUGAGGUCGCAGUGUGGGAAGUGAACCUAGCUUUGGUGUUUAGAGGAAGUAAAAGUCGUAACA